rnacentral:lncRNA from 1 species
GAUAAAUGAGUUUGAGAAGGUGUGCUUUGCGGUAGUGUUCAUCACAGUGAAGUGUGCAAUUUUGGUCCACUGCACAUAUUCUCCAUUCCUGACCCAGGGAUAGUAUUUGGCUGUUGUUAUAAAUUUAGAACUUGAGCUGAGGACCUUAUCUUGUUAGAGUAUAUUAAGCCUUUUUUUUUUGAAAUUAUCACCUUCUUGGUUCUGAGUUCAUCGCUAUUUUAAAUACCGCAACUUA